GCACAACAACACAUAAUAUUUCGUAUAAUUCCGAGGAUUGGCUUGGAAGUCUCUACGAGGUCACCAUAAUGGCCUGGCUACGAUUAUAAAAGAAAUCGAC
rnacentral:ncRNA from 1 species